rnacentral:rRNA from 1 species
GCCUAAAGCGUCCGUAGCCGGCUUUGUAAGUUUUCGGUUAAAUCCAUAUGCUCAACAUAUGGGCCGCCGGGAAUACUGCAUAGCUAGGGAGUGGGAGAGGUAGACGGUACUCCGUAGGAAGGGGUAAAAUCCUUUGAUCUAUGGAUGACCACCUGUGGCGAAGGCGGUCUACCAGAACACGUUCGACGGUGAGGGAUGAAAGCUGGGGGAGCAAACCGGAUUAGAUACCCGGGUAGUCCCAGCUGUAAACUAUGCAAACUCAGUGAUGCAUUGGCUUGUGGCCAGUGCAGUGCCGCAGAGAAGUCGUUAAGUUUGCCGCCUGGGAAGUACGUACGCAAGUAUGAAACUUAAAGGAAUUGGCGGGGGAGCACCACAAGGGGUGAAGCCUGCGGUUCAAUUGGAGUCAACGCCAGAAAUCUUACCCGGAGAGACAGCAGGAUGAAGGUCAAGUUGAAGCCUUUACCAGACAAGCUGAGAAGUGGUGCAUGGCCGUCGCCAGCUCGUGCCGUGAGGUGUCCUGUUAAGUCAGGUAACGAGCGAGAUCCUUGCCUCUAGUUGCUACCAUUACUCUCAGGAGUAGUGGGGCGAAUUAGCGGGACUGCCGUAGUUAAUACGGAGGAAGGAGAGGGCCACGGCAGGUCAGUAUGCCCCGAA